rnacentral:rRNA from 1 species
GAUGAACGCUAGCUACAGGCUUAACACAUGCAAGUCGAGGGGAAACGAUAUUGGAAGCUUGCUUCUGAUAGGCGUCGACCGGCGCGCGGGUGAGUAACGCGUAUCCAACCUGCCCAUCACUUGGGGAUAACCUUGUGAAAGUAAGACUAAUACCCAAUGACGUCUCUAGAAGACAUCUGAAAGAGAUUAAAGAUUUAUCGGUGAUGGAUGGGGAUGCGUCUGAUUAGCUUGUUGGCGGGGUAACGGCCCACCAAGGCGACGAUCAGUAGGGGUUCUGAGAGGAAGGUCCCCCACAUUGGAACUGAGUCACGGUCCAAACUCCUACGGGAGGCAGCAGUGAGGAAUAUUGGUCAAUGGACGAGAGUCUGAACCAGCCAAGUAGCGUGCAGGAUGACGGCCCUAUGGGUUGUAAACUGCUUUUAUAAGGGAAUAAAGUGGGAGUCGCGACUCUUUUUGCAUGUACCUUAUGAAUAAGGACCGGCUAAUUCCGUGCCAGCAGCCG